AGGCAGGGGCUGGGCAGCUCAGAGCUCAGGCACAUGGAGAUGGGGUCCCAGGCUCAGAUGCUCUUUCUCCUGUUGUUCUGGAUCCCAGAUGCCCGAGGGGCCACCGUAAUGACCCAGUCUCCAGCUUCCCUGGCUGCGUCUCCAGGAGAGAGAGUCACCAUGUCCUGCAGGGCCAGUGAGAACAUUAACAACAGGCUGUUCUGGUACCAACAGAAACCAGGGCAGGUCCCUCGGCUCCUCAUUACUCAUGCAACCACCCUUCACUCCGGGGUCCCUGCCCGGUUCAGUGGCAGUGGCUCUGGGACAGAUUUCUCCCUCACAAUCAGCAACAUGGAGGCUGAGGACGUUGCAGUCUAUUACUGUCAGUGUGAUAAUAAGUAUGCUCACACAAUGAUACAGCCCCGAACAAAAACCUGUGCAGCCUCUGCUGAGGGAGUUAUCAGUGUCCCAGGGGCCUCUUCUUCUCCUCAGCUGGGAUGGGGGCAGUUUGUUUGGGCUGCCUCAGGGGAAGGUUUCUAG